AUUGAACGCUGGCGGCAGGCCUAACACAUGCAAGUCGAGCGGAGCGGCGGACGGGUGAGUGAUGCCUCGGAAUCUGCCUGGUAGUGGGGGAUAACGUCCGGACACGGGCGCUAAUACCGCAUACUAUCAGAUGAGCCUAGGUCGGAUUAGCUAGUUGGUGGGGUAAAGGCCUACCAAGGCGACGAUCCGUAACUGGUCUGAGAGGAGGAUCAGUCACACUGGAACUGAGAUACGGUCCAGAAUACUACGGGAGGCAGCAGUGGGGAAUAUUGGUCAAUGGGCGAAAGCUCGAACCAGCCAUGCCGCGUGUGUGAAGAAGGUCUUCGGAUUGGAAAGCCAUUGAAGUUGGGAGGCGUUACCAACAGAAUAAGCACCGGCUAACUUCGUGCCAGCCGCCGCGGUAAUAC
rnacentral:rRNA from 1 species